UUUUUUUUUCUUUUUUGCCUAAGAUAAAAAUAGCUAAAUUUUGUUAUCGCUUUUUUUCUUCUAAGAUAGAAAUAAAUAAAUUUUGUUUAACGAACGCUAAAAUCAUCUUGGCUGGAAUAUAUGUAAUUUUUUCGAUGAACUCACUGUUCACAUUUUUUUAAUUUUUAAAUCUAAUAAAUAAAAUUGAAAAAACAUCCUACCUGACCCAAGCCAACCAAAAACACCUUUGAAAAUUGCUGAUGCCCUCAUAAUCUUUCUUUUUGCUGCUUUUAGAUAUGUUUGGUUUGAAAUAAUGCACGAUAAUUGUUGGGUAAAUCAACUAAUGUAUAGGAAAUAGGAAUGGGGGUAGUCUUCGCAGUAUAAGAGUGUAUAUUUAAGACGUCGACUGUAAUUCAAUAAAUGUAGUCUAGACUGAGCCAAGACAAGUGCCAAAAAGCUAUUUUGCGAAUCAAAAACUGUUGGGUUGUUUGUAUUGCGGAAAGAAUCACCAUCGUCAUGUUUAUUUUAAUGUUCAAAAACGUAAGUUGUAUGGUGUGAAUUUGAACUUGGAUUAAUACAAUUGACUGCAAUAUAGAAAAAAUCAGUACUAGUCAUUUUGUAGAAAAUUUUAUCUGAUGGCAAUUUGUUUAGUUUCACUUGUAUAUCUUCUUCUACUAGUCAUCAGACCCAAAAAAGGAGUUGCAAAUAGUGAAAGGGUUUUGAUAAGGGAAGGGAGGCGGGGGAUUAAGAUAAGGGGGAAAGAGAAAGAGAGAGAGAGAGAGGAAAAUGUGGCUACUCCGAUUGCCUGAGCCAUUGGUGGGGCGGGGGCAUUCUCCUCCUCCUACAACUAGUAGUAUUAUUUGUCGUCAUCAUCGUCUUCUUCCGUCUUUCAAGCUCAGAGCAGCACUUUCCAACCAAGAUUCCACCACUCAAUUUGAUCUUUCCUUAUCCCUCAAGAGGAAAGCAGCUGAUAUAUCCACGGACUUGAAAGGAACUUGUUUAUUCCUUGUUGGAAUUAACAGCCCCAUCAAAUCCAACUCCGCUCAACUCCUUGCUGAUGCACUCCGAUAUUAUUAUUUUGACAGUGAUAGUGUCGUUGAACAAGCUUUGGGAGGAGAGGAUGCCGUCAGGUCAUUUAUGAACACAGACUUGAAGGGCUUUCGAGAUUCAGAGACGGAGGUACUGAAGCAGUUGUCAUCUAUGGGUCGCCUUGUUGUUUCUGCUGGGAAUGGUGCAGUUCAGUGUGCAGCUAAUCUGGCACUUAUGAGACACGGCAUAUCAAUAUGGAUAGAUGUCCCCUUGGAUAUGGUAGCCAAGCAGAUUGUGGAGGAGAAUUUUCAACUUCCUGCUGCUGAAACAAUAAGUGGAUCAUAUUCCGAGGUGUUGGCUCAAUUAACUGCUAUUUAUGAAGAUUGCCGUAAUGGAUAUGCUACAGCUGAUGCAACUAUUGCACUACACAAGGUUGCUUCUCGGUUAGGCUAUGAUACAUUGGAUGCAGUGACCACAGAAGAUAUAGCUUUGGGGACUCUGAAGGAGGUAGAGAGAUUGAUGAGAGCAAAGAAGUUGAUGGAAGAAGCUGCCAGGCCAUUUUAGUUUCAUUCACCACCAAUACCACUUAUUUUGAAUCAACAUCCUGAGCUGAAGUUGGAGGAUGAUGGCAAUACUUGAUGCUCUUGGAGUUGUAUGAUUUCUGAGUAGUUCGUAAUUGGCAUGUAUAUUUAGCAAUAUCACCUUUACCGUAUACUGGGAACAUAAAGCCAGAUGACUUCCAGGAUGUAGAAGAUCAUAACAUGAGUGAUUCGGCAGAUUUGAAUUCAUAUAUAUUCCACCCUUGUGGUACUUCAUUCUACGAUAUAUAUAUAAGAUCCAUAUGUAUAGAUAUCAUCAUCUACAUCCAGAAAGCCGUAUGCUUUGGAAGGGGUUUUGAUUGAUCAAAAGAAGAAUCUGCUUCAACCGAUAUGCCCUUAGGUACUGCCAUACAUAACAUAGAAAUCACACUUGGAAAGGGUGGACAAUAUAAUUAGCUAGAGCAACGGGUGCUGUGGCGAAACUGGUUGUACAAUUCAGUACCAUACUGUCAAACCAAUCAUUAAAUCUGUUAUUAAACAACAGUGAACGAUGCAGUUCGUCCAAACAUUGUAUUGUAAUAUAUUAUACAGUAUGAUAUCAUACCACGCAGUACCGUAUAUUAUGAAACUAUGACAAAACGCCAUUCAAACAAA